GACGAACGCUGGCGGCGUGCCUAAUACAUGCAAGUAGAACGCUGAAGGAGGAGCUUGCUUCUCCGGAUGAGUUGCGAACGGGUGAGUAACGCGUAGGUAACCUGCCUGGUAGCGGGGGAUAACUAUUGGAAACGAUAGCUAAUACCGCAUAAGAGUAGAUGUUGCAUGACAUUUGCUUAAAAGGUGCAAUUGCAUCACUACCAGAUGGACCUGCGUUGUAUUAGCUAGUUCUUGGGGUAACGGCUCACCAAGGCGACGAUACAUAGCCGACCUGAGAGGGUGAUCGGCCACACUGGGACUGAGACACGGCCCAGACUCCUACGGGAGGCAGCAGUAGGGAAUCUUCGGCAAUGGACGGAAGUCUGACCGAGCAACGCCGCGUGAGUGAAGAAGGUUUUCGGAUCGUAAAGCUCUGUUGUAAGAGAAGAACGAGUGUGAGAGUGGAAAGUUCACACUGUGACGG
rnacentral:rRNA from 1 species